rnacentral:sRNA from 1 species
AGGCAGUGGUGUUUACAACUAAUUGAUCACAACCAGUUAUAGAUUUCUUUGCUCCUUCUCCACUCCCACUGCUUCAU